rnacentral:rRNA from 1 species
UACGUAGGGGGCGAGCGUUGUCCGGAAUUAUUGGGCGUAAAGCGCGCGCAGGCGGCUUCGCGCGCCCGACGUGAAAGCCCCCGGCUUAACCGGGGAGAGUCGUUGGGGACGGCGGAGCUUGAGGGCGGGAGAGGUCGGUGGAAUUCCUGGUGUAGUGGUGAAAUGCGUAGAGAUCGGGAGGAACACCUGUGGCGAAGGCGGCCGACUGGGCCGACCCUGACGCUGAGGCGCGAAGGCGUGGGGAGCAAACAGG